rnacentral:rRNA from 1 species
UACGUAGGGGGCAAGCGUUGUCCGGAUUUAUUGGGCGUAAAGAGCGUGUAGGCGGCCAUACAGGUCAGCUGUGAAAACUCGAGGCUCAACCUCGAGACGUCGGUUGAAACCGUUUGGCUAGAGUCCGGAAGAGGAGAGUGGAAUUCCCGGUGUAGCGGUGAAAUGCGCAGAUAUCGGGAAGAACACCCGUGACGAAGGCGGCUCUCUGGGACGGUACUGACGCUGAGACGCGAAAGCGUGGGGAGCGAACAGG